rnacentral:rRNA from 1 species
AUUGAACGCUGGCGGAAUGCUUUACACAUGCAAGUCGAGCGGCAGCGCGGGGGCAACCCUGGCGGCGAGCGGCGAACGGGUGAGUAACAUAUCGGAACGUACCCCGUCGUGGGGGAUAACACAGCGAAAGCUGUGCUAAUACCGCAUACGACCUGAGGGUGAAAGCGGGGGAUCGCAAGACCUCGCGCGAUGGGAGCGGCCGAUAUCGGAUUAGCUUGUUGGUGAGGUAAAGGCUCACCAAGGCGACGAUCCGUAGCUGGUCUGAGAGGACGACCAGCCACACUGGAACUGAGACACGGUCCAGACUCCUACGGGAGGCAGCAGUGGGGAAUUUUGGACAAUGGGGGCAACCCUGAUCCAGCCAUUCCGCGUGAGUGAAGAAGGCCUUCGGUUGUAAAGCUCUUUCAGCAGGAACGAAACGGUAGG